rnacentral:rRNA from 1 species
UGGGGAAUAUUGGACAAUGGGGGCAACCCUGAUCCAGCAAUGCCGCGUGAGUGAUGAAGGCCUUCGGGUUGUAAAGCUCUUUUGGCGGGGACGAUGAUGACGGUACCCGCAGAAUAAGCCCCGGCUAACUUCGUGCCAGCAGCCGCGGUAAUACGAAGGGGGCUAGCGUUGUUCGGAAUUACUGGGCGUAAAGGGCGCGUAGGCGGUCCUGAUCGUCGGAUGUGAAAGGCCUGGGCUCAACCUGGGAAUGGCAUCCGAUACGGCGGGACUGGAGUGUAGGAGAGGUUGGUGGAAUUCCCAGUGUAGAGGUGAAAUUCGUAGAUAUUGGGAAGAACACCGGUGGCGAAGGCGGCCAACUGGACCACAACUGACGCUGAGGCGCGAAAGCGUGGGGAGCAAACAGGAUUAGAUACCCUGGUAGUCCACGCUGUAAACGAUGCGUGCUAGACGUUGGGAGACCUAGUCUCUCGGUGUCGUCGCUAACGCUUUAAGCACGCCGCCUGGGGAGUACGGCCGCAAGGUUAA